rnacentral:lncRNA from 1 species
GUUUAUCUCUCCGUUUGAAAAGCUUUGUUUCUUUUUCAGUUUCAUUCUUCUUUAUCACAUUUAUCGUCACCCUACCUUUUUUUCCUUUCUUCAUCUCGUAUAACGAUAGUGAAACAACGUCUUACUUACCGGAAACGCCAUAGAUUUCCGAUCAUUAGACAUCAUCCGCCACCGGAAAUACCAUUAUAACAGAGGGUUGUUCAAUACCAGUUUUUCAUCGCUUCUUCCUUUCUUCCCUUUCACCACGUCAUGAGAUCCGAUGUCGGCCACGUUUGUCGUGGUGGCUAAAAAAGGUGUCGCGUUGUAUGAGACGGCUAGGGUUCCAAUUAGGUGACGACAGUUUUAGGAUUUUUGUGGAACUUUAUGUGGUGACAACCGAUGGGAAGGACGAUGGAGACUGAUGUUGUGUGAUACGGCGGAGGGGGCAAUAGUUUAGGGUUUUCGUGGAACUUUAUGUUUUGAAAGACAAAUAUCUAAUAAUUUGUGUUUAUGUUAUUAAUAUAUUUAGUUAGAUAAAUAAUUCUUUACUAUAUAAGUGUUUCAAUGUUAUUAAUAAGUAUUCUAAAUAAGGCUUAGG